GACGAACGCUGGCGGCGUGCUUAACACAUGCAAGUCGAACGAAGAGCGACGGAAGCUUGCUUCUAUCAAUCUUAGUGGCGAACGGGUGAGUAACGCGUAAUCAACCUGCCCUUCAGAGGGGGACAACAGUUGGAAACGACUGCUAAUACCGCAUACGAUCUAAUCUCGGCAUCGAGGAUAGAUGAAAGGUGGCCUCUACAUGUAAGCUAUCACUGAAGGAGGGGAUUGCGUCUGAUUAGCUAGUUGGAGGGGUAACGGCCCACCAAGGCGAUGAUCAGUAGCCGGUCUGAGAGGAUGAACGGCCACAUUGGGACUGAGACACGGCCCAGACUCCUACGGGAGGCAGCAGUGGGGAAUCUUCCGCAAUGGACGAAAGUCUGACGGAGCAACGCCGCGUGAGUGAUGACGGCCUUCGGGUUGUAAAGCUCUGUUAAUCGGGACGAAAGGCCUUCUUGCGAACAGUUAGAAGCGU
rnacentral:rRNA from 1 species